rnacentral:tRNA from 2 species
UCUCGAUUGGUCUAGUGGUCAGGAUACCUGCUUGUCAUCGGAGUUCUGUCUAGUGUCCCCCAUGGUGGAGACUAGGUCGAGAUACAAGCCGCAGGUGGCCGGGGUUCGAUUCCCCGAUCGAGAG